GCUGGGUGUGGUGGCUCACGCCUAUAAUCCCAGCACUUUGGGAGGCUGAGGUGGGUGGAUCACCUGAGGUCAGGAGUUCGAGACCAGCCUGGCCAACAUGGUGAAACCCCAUCUCUA
rnacentral:SRP_RNA from 2 species